rnacentral:lncRNA from 1 species
UUUAAAAGGAACAAAAAUUUAAAGUUUUAUUUCACUACAACUAAAGCACGAUUUUCUCAAGAUGAACUUGUUUUAAUUUCCAUCGGUCGAAAGGAGACUUUGCUCUUCGGGCAAACGUCGGAAAAAUCCGAAGUUAUUCCAAGCUGUCUGUUUCUAUGUCUGUUUGUCUGUUCCACUGAGCUAUAAUGGUCUGUUCACAAUGGUCUGUUUGUCUGUCUGUUCUGAGAAGAUUGUAUAAAAACGCACAAGUUGUUACAAGUCUGCAAACAAGUUGUUGCAAAUCUG